rnacentral:rRNA from 1 species
UACGUAGGGGGCAAGCGUUGUCCGGAAUCAUUGGGCGUAAAGGGCUCGUAGGCGGUCUGUCGCGUCGAAAGUGAAAACCCAGGGCUUAACCCUGGGCCUGCUUCCGAUACGGGCAGACUAGAGGUAUGCAGGGGAGAACGGAAUUCCUGGUGUAGCGGUGAAAUGCGCAGAUAUCAGGAGGAACACCGGUGGCGAAGGCGGUUCUCUGGGCAUUACCUGACGCUGAGGAGCGAAAGUGUGGGGAGCGAACAGG